rnacentral:rRNA from 1 species
UUACCUGGGCUCGAACGUAAGAUGACUGUAGGUGAAAGCUUACUAUCUCUUCGGAGCAUUUUACGAGGUGCUGCAUGGUUGUCGUCAGCUCGUGCCGUGAGGUGUCGGGUUAAGUCCCAUAACGAGCGCAACCCUACCUUUACGUUGCCACCAGGUUAAGCUGGGGACUCUAAAGGAACUGCCUACGCAAGUAGUGAGGAAGCGGGGAGUGACGGUCAAAUCAGCACGGCCCUUACGUCCAGGGCUACACACGUGCUACAAUGGCCGAUACAGAGGGCAGCUACCUGGUGACAGGAUGCAAAUCUCCAAAGUCGGUCUCAGUUCGGAUCGGAGUCUGCAACCCGACUCCGUGAAGUUGGAUUCGCUAGUAAUCGCGCAUCAGCCAUGGCGCGGUGAAUACGUUCCCGGGCCUU